rnacentral:misc_RNA from 1 species
CCGAAGAUGUGCUUGACCCCAUGGUCCUUGAGCGCGCGGACGAUCAUCGCCGCGCCGGUCAUCUGGUUGGGAUCGUGUGUCUUGCUGUCACUCAUGGUUCGCUCCGGGGCGCCGCUGGCGCUGAUUUGGUCGAGGCUUCCUUACCGCAUGACCUGAUUUGAAACCGCUUCAAACUCUCGGGGUUAUGCGCAAAAAACAAAAAAGGGCCCGAGAGGGACCCUUCGCACACCGCCUU